rnacentral:sRNA from 1 species
UUUUAGAAUUGUAGAAGAAUACCUAACAGGUUUUGGAAACCUGUUAGGAUGAAACAAACAAAAUUCACU